UUUAGAUGAAUGCUGUGAAGAAAAGGAAAGAGGGGCAGUGGCUGUAAAGAACAGCGGGAAUGAGGCAGUUUCGCUGUGUUGUUUUUCUUUUCUUGUUUUAUGGAGACAGAGACCUGAGUGCAAAGAAGCCGAUGGGGAGGACCCAGUAACCAGAGACUCUAUGGAAGGCUUCGUGUCUGUGAAGGUCAAAUUCAGAGAACUUAUCAGCUGCUGCCUCUCAAGGACAAGGACCAAGGGAGAUCAUCAGCUCCAAACUAAGGGAGGAAUGCUAUACGUAGGAAUCACUCUGUGGUUCCUCUAAUGUCUGCCCAGGUAAGUCAGCAUGUGCUAUGCAACUCUGCCCUCAUGUAGUAAAAUGAAAAUGCCUUCAGCAAGGGGUGAGGUGCAUUUAGUAUGUUUGAUUUAACAAGGGUGGGACCUGUAAAAUUAUGAUUCUGCCGAAGGGUUAAUGUCUUAAAACAGCCUUGCUUAUCUCUUUAUUAUUCAUCGCAUGCUCUAAAACCAACUAACCAAAUGAACAGUGUAAACAGGAAUGAAAAGAUACCCGGGCUUCAUGCUUACUAAAAAGAGGGAACCACCACAUUGGGUGGGAGUUCCAGGGCUGGACCAAACAGGUUGGGGAUAGGUGGGGGGAUUAGAGAGACAGGGUGUGGGGGUAGGUAUGCGACCCAGUGCAGCCAAGGAGAAUAGAGCCAAGGAGUGACCAACAGCAAACCCAAGCUCUGGAAUAAGCCCCCGGGGUCAAAAGGCAGCCUGAUCCAUGGCAGGGAUCAUAUCUGAAGGGUGAGCAGAGGGUAGAGAGUUGGGUGAGCCCAACAGGAACAUGGCAGGAAGAAAGGAAGAGGUUCUGGGCUUUGGUGGGAGCAGGGGACAUGGGCCUGGGGCUCCCUUCCAUCCAUCGGGCUAGCCAAACAGGACUGGGUGCCCAAGGAGACAGGCACCAAGUGAACUGAAAAUUAGAGAUAUGAAUCAGUUCUGUGAACAAAAAUCUGGGGCUUCUGGAGCAAAAUAAAAAGGAGCCAGUGGCUAUCCA
rnacentral:lncRNA from 1 species